rnacentral:rRNA from 1 species
GACGGGUAACGGGAAAUCAGGGUUUGAUUCCGGAGAGGGAGCCUGAGAGAUGGCUCCCACGUCCAAGGACGGCAGCAGGCGCGAAACUUGUCCACUCCUUACGGGGGAGACAGUCAUGAGACGUGAGUAUAAGACCUGAGUGUAAAGACCUUAGGGUGAAGCAAUUGGAGGGCAAGCUUUGGUGCCAGCAGCCGCGGUAACUCCAACUCCAAGAGUGUCUAUGGUGGAUGCUGCAGUUAAAGGGUCCGUAGUCGUGAAUGCAAUUAAAUGUCGUUGUUCAAUAGCGAUGAGUUUGCUAAUGUUUGCGGAACGGAUAGGGAGUGUAGUAUAGACUGGCGAAGAAUGAAAUCUCAAGACCCAGUUUGGACUAACGGAGGCGAAGGCGACACUCUUAGACGUAUCUUAGGAUCAAGGACGAAGGCAGGAGUAUCGAAAGUGAUUAGACACCGCUGUAGUUCCUGCAGUAAACUAUGCCGACAGCCUGUGUGUGAGAAUACGUGGGCGGGAGAAAUCUUAGUGUUCGGGCUCUGGGGAUAGUACGCUCGCAAGGGUGAAACUUAAAGCGAAAUUGACGGAAGGACACUACCAGGAGUGGAUUGUGCUGCUUAAUUUAACUCAACGCGGGAAAACUUACCAGGGUCAAGUCAUUCGUUGAUCGAAUACGUGAGAAUGGCAGGAGUGGUGCAUGGCCGUUGGAAAUUGAUGGGGCGACCUUUAGCUUAAAUGCUUAAACCAGUGAGACCUCCUUGACAGGUGUUCUGUAACACAGGAGGGUGGAGGCUAUAACAGGUCCGUGAUGCCCUUAGAUAUCCUGGGCAGCAAGCGCAAUACAAUAUCUCUUCAGUAGACAAAGUGAUUGAGAUGAGU